rnacentral:rRNA from 1 species
CUCCUAAAGAGUAACGGAGGAGCACGAAGGUUGGCUAAUCCUGGUCGGACAUCAGGAGGUUAGUGCAAUGGCAUAAGCCAGCUUGACUGCGAGCGUGACGGCGCGAGCAGGAGCGAAAGCAGGUCAUAGUGAUCCGGUGGUUCUGAAUGGAAGGGCCAUCGCUCAACGGAUAAAAGGUACUCCGGGGAUAACAGGCUGAUACCGCCCAAGAGUUCAUAUCGACGGCGG